rnacentral:misc_RNA from 1 species
GGGUUCUGAGAGAGAAUGGAUUAUUGGUUACAAGAGCCGGCGUAACAUCCGUGGGAGAGCAAGCAGUGUGUAUUUUAUGUGAGAGAUGCCCCAGGGAAUGCAGUGGACAUGAAGACUAUUGAAGCUCUUCAAAAAGAAAUUGGACACACGAUGAUGCUUAAUGUGAAAAAACCUGCGGCUACUGCAAGGGAACCUGAAGCCAAAGG